rnacentral:rRNA from 1 species
GAUGAACGCUGGCGGCGUGCUUAACACAUGCAAGUCGAACGAAGCAUUUAGAACAGAUUACUUCGGUUUGAAGUUCUUUAUGACUGAGUGGCGGACGGGUGAGUAACGCGUGGGUAACCUGCCUUGUACUGGGGGAUAGCAGCUGGAAACGGCUGGUAAUACCGCAUAAGCGCACAAUGUUGCAUGACAUGGUGUGAAAAACUCCGGUGGUAUAAGAUGGACCCGCGUCUGAUUAGCUAGUUGGUGAGAUAACAGCCCACCAAGGCGACGAUCAGUAGCCGACCUGAGAGGGCGACCGGCCACAUUGGGACUGAGACACGGCCCAGACUCCUACGGGAGGCAGCAGUGGGGAAUAUUGCACAAUGGAGGAAACUCUGAUGCAGCGACGCCGCGUGAGUGAAGAAGUAAUUCGUUAUGUAAAGCUCUAUCAGCAGGGAAGAUAGUGACGGUACCUGACUAAGAAGCUCCGGCUAAAUACGUG